rnacentral:tRNA from 1 species
GCAGUGGUGGUUCAGUUGUAGAAUUCUCACCUCCCAUGUGGGAGACUCAGUUUGAUUUCUGGCCAGUGCA